rnacentral:rRNA from 1 species
GAUGAACGCUGGCGGCGUGCCUAAUACAUGCAAGUCGAGCGAACGGACGAGAAGCUUGCUUCUCUGAUGUUAGCGGCGGACGGGUGAGUAACACGUGGAUAACCUACCUAUAAGACUGUGAUAACUUCGGGAAACCGGAGCUAAUACCGGAUAAUAUUUUGAACCGCAUGGUUCAAAAGUGAAAGACGGUCUUGCUGUCACUUAUAGAUGGAUCCGCGCUGCAUUAGCUAGUUGGUAAGGUAACGGCUUACCAAGGCAACGAUGCAUAGCCGACCUGAGAGGGUGAUCGGCCACACUGGAACUGAGACACGGUCCAGACUCCUACGGGAGGCAGCAGUAGGGAAUCUUCCGCAAUGGGCGAAAGCCUGACGGAGCAACGCCGCGUGAGUGAUGAAGGUCUUCGGAUCGUAAAACUCUGUUAUUAGGGAAGAACAUAUGUGUAAGUAACUGUGCACAUCUUGACGGUACCUAAUCAGAAAGCCACGGCUAACUACGUG